AGCGAACGCUGGCGGCAGGCCUAACACAUGCAAGUCGAACGAACUCUUCGGAGUUAGUGGCGGACGGGUGAGUAACACGUGGGAACGUGCCUUUAGGUUCGGAAUAACUCAGGGAAACAUGUGCUAAUACCGAAUGUGCCCUUCGGGGGAAAGAUUUAUCGCCUUUAGAGCGGCGCUGGUCUGAUUCGCGAGUUGGUGAGGGAAAGGCUAACCAAGGCGACGAUCGGUGGCUGGUCGGUGAGGAGGCUCAGUAACAUUUGGGCUGAGACACGGCCCCAACUCGUACGGGGGGCAGGAGUGGGGAGUCCAACGGGAUGAACCCAGGUCUGACGCAGCCGCGUCGCGGAAAUGAGGAUGGUCUUAGUAUUGUAAAUUUCUUUGUCCCGGGGCGAUAGUGACGGUACCCGGUAAAGAAGCCCCGGCUAACUACGUG
rnacentral:rRNA from 1 species